rnacentral:rRNA from 1 species
GAGGACUUGUAUGAACGGUUAAAUGAGGGCUUAACUGUCUCCUGCAGCCAAUCAAUGAAAUUGACCUUACAGUACAAAUGCUCUCAUACAUUUACAAGACGAGAAGACCCUGUGGAGCUUUAAACUCAUACAUUAACCAAUAUUAAUACCCGUAUAAUGUAAAUUUUAAGUUGGGGCGACUAUGGAGUAAAAAGAAACCUCCACACAUAACGACUUAACCUCGUAAUACCAAGCUAGCAGGCUUAAUCAAUAUAUCUUAGACCCAGUCAUACUGAAUAUUGAACCAAGUUACCCCAGGGAUAACAGCGCCAUCCCCCUAAAGAGUCCACAUCGCCAGGGGGGUUUACGACCUCGAUGUUGGAUCAGGACUUCCCAGUGGUGUAGCCGCUACUAAAGGUUCGUUUGUUCAACGAG